CUGUCCAAUUUAUCAGGUUUCCAAUGUUUUGAUUUACAAGUACAAACUUCAAGUGAAUGACAUUUAAGAGGUCUAUUAGAAAAGAGCGUGUUAAUAGACCUAAUUCUUUUUGAUGGAAAAUAUCUAUUAAAACAUAUGUCUACGUCGUGUGUACCUACUGAAAAGCCUACUGUAAUAACUAAUCCAUUUUGCUAUUCACAAUGUUCAAACAAUCUUUGACAAGUUAAUAUACGUCUACACGUGACAACUUUAUUAAUAUCCUAUAGUUCAAUACCAUCAACUAUUUCCCGAAUAACAUUUGAGAUCCUACUAAAUUGUGAAUUGUUCAGUCUGGUCAAACAUGGAGACAUAAUGUAUAAUUACAGAUUAAAUAGCAGCACUAAAAGAAUCAGAAGUAUAAGAGGUUUUUACCUUAAAUAAAUUGAUUGAGAAUUAUAAUUUUCUGUAGGCUAUCUUCUCUGAUUGCCUCUUUCUUACUUUGGUUAAGCAAGACAACCCCUCUGUACUUUCCAUAUAGAAGCUGCAAAACCAAGGUUUCCUCUCCUUUCUCAUAGAAUAUCUAGGAGGAUUGUCUGCAAAUCUAUGUAGAACAUCUGUAUCUCCUCGGCUUUGACAUGGCUUUCUAUGGUUUAUACUGUUCAUAUCUGCACAUUCACAUUUGUUUAUCGUAUACUCAAAUCAGACAUCAGAAAGACUUCUUUAUUUCAGUGAAUCCUUCCUGAUUUCAUACUUCAGCCUUUGAAGGUAUGACCCAUGAAUUUCAAUGAGCUGGACAAGGCAUUUCGAAGGAGCACUUACUGAUAAAUGUAAAAACAUUAAGAAAAUAUUACUCAAUUUAAGUUUAAAUGAGCCUUAAUCUAGCUAUAUUUGCUUUACCUUAACACAUUCAUUUCAGCAAUUUCAUUUUGACUUACGAAAUGUAUUAAUAAGGACGAUUUGUAUUUUUUUCGAAUAUAUACAGGGUUCA